GCCAUGGGCAGGUUGAAGGUUGGGUAACACUAACUGGAGGACCGAACCGACUAAUGUUGAAAAAUUAGCGGAUGACCUGUGGCUGGGGGUGAAAGGCCAAUCAAACCGGGAGAUAGCUGGUUCUCCCCGAAAGCUAUUUAGGUAGCGCCUCGUGAAUUCAUCUCCGGGGGUAGAGCACUGUUUCGGCUAGGGGGCCAUCCCGGCUUACCAACCCGAUGCAAACUGCGAAUACCGGAGAAUGUUAUCACGGGAGACACACGGCGGGUGCUAACGUCCGUCGUGAAGAGGGAAACAACCCAGACCGCCAGCUAAGGUCCCAAAGUCAUGGUUAAGUGGGAAACGAUGUGGGAAGGCCCAGACAGCCAGGAUGUUGGCUUAGAAGCAGCCAUCAUUUAAAGAAAGCGUAAUAGCUCACUGGUCGAGUCGGCCUGCGCGGAAGAUGUAACGGGGCUAAACCAUGCACCGAAGCUGCGGCAGCGACACUCAGGUGUUGUUGGGUAGGGGAGCGUUCUGUAAGCCUGCGAAGGUGGCCUGUGAGGGUUGCUGGAGGUAUCAGAAGUGCGAAUGCUGACAUAAGUAACGAUAAAGCGGGUGAAAAGCCCGCUCGCCGGAAGACCAAGGGU
rnacentral:rRNA from 1 species